GAGCCUCUCAAUAGUUCCCGGAAGUAGCAGCAAACACAUGCCGCGCCGUAGAGAUGCAGCAGAAUUCUCGAAUAAACCGUUUGCGACGCACUUUUAAAAGGACCUGUAUAUAUGCGCUGGUAGAUGGAGGAUUAGUGAUGCCACAGGACUGUUCUGUGAUGGAGCAUCAGUGAUGAUGCAGGUCAGGAGUGCUGCGGUCCUAUAGUGCCAUACAAAAGUGGGGAAGCCAUACAUUUGCACACCUUUCUCUGAGCGAUUGGAGCAUCCCCAUGCAGCACAGCAAACCAUGGUGAAGACUAUGCAACGAGAACAUGAAAGAAAGGACACAUACAAAAUGCUUGGCAUGCC